rnacentral:rRNA from 1 species
GACGAACGCUGGCGGCGUGCUUAACACAUGCAAGUCGAACGGAAAGGCCCUGCUUUUGUGGGGUGCUCGAGUGGCGAACGGGUGAGUAACACGUGAGUAACCUGCCCUUGACUUUGGGAUAACUUCAGGAAACUGGGGCUAAUACCGGAUAAGAGCUCCUGCUGCAUGGUGGGGGUUGGAAAGUUUCGGCGGUUGGGGAUGGACUCGCGGCUUAUCAGCUUGUUGGUGGGGUAGUGGCUUACCAAGGCUUUGACGGGUAGCCGGCCUGGGAGGGUGACCGGCCACAUUGGGACUGAGAUACGGCCCAGACUCCUACGGGAGGCAGCAGUGGGGAAUAUUGCACAAUGGGCGGAAGCCUGAUGCAGCAACGCCGCGUGCGGGAUGACGGCCUUCGGGUUGUAAACCGCUUUCGCCUGUGACGAAGCGUGAGUGACGGUAAUGGGUAAAGAAGCACCGGCUAACUACGUG